ACCCCCCUCUGUUUCAUUCCUCCAGGGACCCAGAGGCCAGCGGGGGCCACGAGGAGCCACCGGAAAGCUGGGGGCAAAGGGCACGUCUGGCGGUGACGGCCCCCACGGCCCUCCAGGGGAAAGGGGACUCCCGGGCCCCCAGGGGUCAAACGGCUUCCCCGGA